rnacentral:rRNA from 1 species
UACGUAGGGAGCAAGCGUUGUCCGGAAUCAUUGGGCGUAAAGCGCGCGUAGGCGGCCCUGUAAGUCCGCUGUGAAAGUCAAAGGCUCAACCUUUGAAAGCCGGUGGAUACUGCAGGGCUAGAGUCCGGAAGAGGCGAGUGGAAUUCCUGGUGUAGCGGUGGAAUGCGCAGAUAUCAGGAGGAACACCAGUGGCGAAGGCGGUUCUCUGGGCAUUACCUGACGCUGAGGGGCGAAAGUGUGGGGAGCGAACAGG